AAUCCACACGACUCUCGGCAACGGAUAUCUCGGCUCUCGCAUCGAUGAAGAACGUAGCGAAAUGCGAUACCUGGUGUGAAUUGCAGAAUCCCGCGAACCAUCGAGUCUUUGAACGCAAGUUGCGCCCGAGGCCACUCGGCCGAGGGGCAGCCUGCCUGGGCGUCACGC
rnacentral:rRNA from 8 species